GAUGAAGAACGUAGCGAAAUGCGAUAGGUAAUGUGAAUUGCAGAAUUCAGUGAAUCAUCGAAUCUUUGAACGCACAUUGCGCCCCCUGGUAUUCCGGGGGGCAUGCCUGUCCGAGCGUCAUUGCUGCCCUCAAGCACGGCUUGUGUGUUGGGCUCCGUCCCCCCGGGGACGGGCCCGAAAGGCAGCGGCGGCACCGAGUCCGGUCCUCGAGCGUAUGGGGCUUUGUCACCCGCUCUGUAGGCCCGGCCGGCGCCAGCCGACAACCCAUCAUCCUUUUCAGGUUGACCUCGGAUCAGGUAGGGAUACCCGCUGAACUUAAGCAUAUCAAUAAGCGGAGGA
rnacentral:misc_RNA from 1 species